rnacentral:rRNA from 1 species
GUCACGCUGUAAACGAUGUCGAUUUGGAGUUUGGGGGCAUGACCCUUGGGCUCCGGAGCUAACGCGUUAAAUCGACCGCCUGGGGAGUACGGCCGCAAGGUUAAAACUCAAAUGAAUUGACGGGGGCCCGCACAAGCGGUGGAGCAUGUGGUUUAAUUCGAUGCAACGCGAAGAACCUUACCUGGUCUUGACAUCCAUAGAAUCUUUCAGAGAUGAGAGAGUGCCUUCGGGAGCUAUGAGACAGGUGCUGCAUGGCUGUCGUCAGCUCGUGUUGUGAAAUGUUGGGUUAAGUCCCGCAACGAGCGCAACCCCUAUCCUUUGUUGCCAGCACGUAAUGGUGGGAACUCAAAGGAGACUGCCGUUGAUAAAGCGGAGGAAGGUGGGGACGACGUCAAGUCAUCAUGGCCCUUACGACCAGGGCUACACACGUGCUACAAUGGCGUAUACAAAGGGAUGCGAAGGUGCGAACUGGAGCGGACCUCACAAAGUACGUCUAAGUCCGGAUUGGAGUCUGCAACUCGACUCCAUGAAGUCGGAAUCGCUAGUAAUCGUGAAUCAGAAUGUCACGGUGAAUACGUUCCCGGGCCUUGUACACACCGCCCGUCACACCAUGGGAGUGGGUUGCACCAGAAGUAGAUAGCUUAACCUUCGGGAGGGCGUUUACCACGGUGUGGUUCAUGACUGGGGUGAAGUCGUAACAAGGUAACCA